rnacentral:rRNA from 1 species
UACGGAGGGGACUAGCGUUGUUCGGAAUCACUGGGCGUAAAGCGCACGUAGGCGGAUUUGUAAGUCAGGGGUGAAAUCCCGGGGCUCAACCUCGGAACUGCCUCUGAUACUGCAAAUCUCGAGUCCGGAAGAGGUGGGUGGAAUUCCUAGUGUAGAGGUGAAAUUCGUAGAUAUUAGGAAGAACACCGGUGGCGAAGGCGGCCCACUGGUCCGGUACUGACGCUGAGGUGCGAAAGCGUGGGGAGCAAACAGG